CAUGAAAUGCAUAGAUAUUUCGUGUCAUAUUUCAUGAAGUCGUUACAAACUUCCAUCUUUGAGGGCAGAUACAGAUUUUCAACUACUCAAAUGGAAUGACCAGAUCAAAUACAAAUACGAUAAUUUAAUCAGGCCAACUUUUGGCUGGCCAACCCAUAAGAGGAUUUAUGACCACAGUCGUACCAACCAUAGUGGCCAUAACAGAUAUCUAUAGUAAUGACAUUACUUAGGCACGAGUGACCCCUACAGAUAGUGCGAUAUCACUCUUAUUAGAGGGCACGCCGUCA
rnacentral:lncRNA from 1 species